GCAUUGGUGAUUUAGUGGUAGAAUUCCUACCUUUCAUGUGGGAGACCUGGGUUCAAUUCCCAGCCAAUGCA